GCUGAAUUGUUUGGGACUUGGGGUUUGCAUCCUGGGUAACAAUAAGCUCUAAUAAACCUGUAUUGUAAAAAGGAGGGCCAGCCUCUCACAUUUUUUGAUGGUUAUUAAUGUGAGAGUUUCCAGAGGUGGGUGGGUCAUCGGCAGCAGAGGACACAUGCAAGUAUUUGCCAAAUUCUAGUACUACCCCAAACAUUAUUCAUACUCAUAAAACUGAAUUAAAGCACAAGGAUUCAGGCUGUUCUUUUAAUAGAUAUGGAAUCUCAUAAUUGAAGAUUAAAUUGGAUUUUAUUUAAAGAUUUUCUGCUGAAGGUCAAAUUAAGACUAAAAAGAAAUCUUGAAUGGUCCUGGUUUUUCAGUAAAACAGCACAGAACAGCCCUGCUUAGUCAUCAGCUGUGGAAAAACGAGCACUGCUGUGCAACACUGUGUCGUGUUUCCCUUUUCUUUUCUCAUGCUAACACCACACAGUUUAAUAUGAGAUGAUACUGUGUAAAAUUCAUUUGUUACCCCUGUCACAGGCAUUCCCCAAUGCAGCAAGAAUCAAAUGGAUUGAAGACCAUUAAAAUAUAAUGAAAAAUCUUGUUCUUGUGGGUCCCUGUGGUGGUGAAACCAAAGCCCAGGCAGUCUGAUCUGAAGAGAAUCCUCUAUGAUACUGUCACACUACACUGGUUCUGAUUCAUCACUGGAGAUCACUCCUUAAAACAGCCUUGUAAGAAUGCAAUGAUUUGAACCAAAUGUUGAAAUAUGGGAACGUCUGAGUCCAUUGAAGCUCCCAGUGGUGAGGGAAGCGAGACUCGGUAGAGCAGCAAUGAUUACAAUGUAUAGAUUUAAGGAUAUAUUGGAUCAGGAAGCAGUGUAGGAAACCUGUUGAAACCAAAGACAACAACAUCUAAGAUGCCCUCUUUGUUUCUGAUCAUCAAAACAAUCAUAAUAACUCUUCUAAAGCAAAAUGCACUGAGUGGAAUAGAGUUUCUUUCUUGUUAAAAUUUUCCUUUUGACUAAAAGUGGAUAACUGCAGGACGUAGUGGUAAAACAAAUAUUUACAGCAGCAUAAAGCACACAAAUGCAGUUAUGAUGUCGGAAUGACAGAGGACUCUGUGAUAUAAAGGAAGGAAAGGAAAGAAUAAAUCCAUAACAAAGGUGAAAUACAUACCAUCAUUACCAUGAAACCAGUGAAUCCUCAUCCUCAUUAUCUUCUCAAAUUAAGUUGGAAAUGCUGAGUCUUUCUCUAAGAGCUGGAUUGGAAAGUGUCUCAGAAGUAGAAGGGAACUGUGCGCUUCAAAUGGGAAUAGUAACUCAUUCAACCCCUGUGAACUUCAGAGGACAGGAGCUGAGCAUCAGUGCUUAUGUGUUCCCAAAAGAGCUGAGGUUUCAGUUUUACUUACAGGUAGAGGGACUCUGUAGAUUAAAUGGAGUUCGGUGAUUCAUUCCACCACAGGGGGACAUCAGAGGAGAAGAGUCUGGCUCACGACAUGAGGCCCUAUCAUCAUUAGCAGGAUGCAGUUGGGAGGUGGGAGUGAAGACCUGCUUGAGGGAUACCAGGUGGGCUGAGCUUUGUUUAUAAGAGGUUUGGUUUUAGGGGUUCAUGGUGCUUAAUAGGGAACAAAAAUGCAAAUACCACAGUAACAAGUCCAUGGUAGGAUUUUUACUUUAACAUAUGAAGAGGGGACAAUGAAAUCUCCAUUGAAAAUUAUAUUUAUACAACAUGGAGAACACUGCUUACUGGACGCUCUGUGUAACUUUAGCCUUUGUCUCUCUCUAGAGUUCAUAUCAGGAAGUUAAAAAGGUUAUUAUUCCAUAUGUAGAAUUAAUCUUAUAAAAGGAAAAAAAAACAAUGUUGUCUAUUUUAAAACAAGAGGCAGAGAGGCUACAGUUGACAUUUUUUCCCUUAUAUCUACAAGCUCAUAAAUCAAAGACAUCAAUAUACUGUAGCUACGUAUGUGAAUACAUGCAGCAUUCCUGAUCAAAUAAACAUAAUCAACAACAGACACUCUAUUUCAUCAGGACAUCCAUUUCUCAAAUGUGACUGAUAGAAUACAUAAAUGUCUUUACUUUUCUUAAGUGUGUGCUCUCAAGUGUUACAGUGCAGGCUCUGUGUGCAUGUAUUUAUAGCAUUAUGACAUUAUGCAGUGUGUAUUCAUACAUAUGCAAGUGCCCAUGUCUAUGGCUGUCUCCAGCUUCUCCAGAUCCACCAGCGGUAUUAAGAUCAGCCUUUCCGUAAGCUGUCAGGGCGGGACAGAUUUUAGCAAGAGAGGAAAUCAGGGAUGGUAUAACGAAGGGGGAAAGAGGUCACGUUUGUCAGAGCAGGAUGAGGUUGUGAAUAUUGUCAUGCAAAAAGCAUGUGACACUUCUUAACGGGCAAAAGGAUAGAGAGAGGAAUGGAUGGCAAGCCAAGUGAGCGAUUGUCAAGGCGGGUGAGGGAGAGGGAGUGGCAGGUUUUAGCUGGAGCAUGUCUAAGUGAAGGGGGCAAGGCCGGAUGUCUUUCAUUUUGAGUCAAGUUUAACCCAGUGUGUCAUGAGAGUUUAUCAAGUACACACACACAGUCUCAUGAAAAACCUUCCUUUGAAGAAAUUUUCUAUCAGUACAAAAUGUUACUCUGGAUCAACUAAAAAAUAUUACUCUAAUUUGUUACAGAUGUUUUCAUUCUUUAUUCUCAUAUUUUUAUUCUUCCCUGUCCAAAAUUUAAUUUGAUUUGACCCAAAGUUGGAUUUGAUAAAUCAAAAUUAUUCAUUAGUCAAAGUUAAAGAAAUUACCUCAACAGAAAGCACAAGUAUCUCUUGUUAAAAGGGACAAUAUUACUUCCUUUGAAAUAAGAUUUAGGAUUACAUGUUAUUUUUUAGUUUGAACCAAAAAAAGGAAAUACUUUAGUUAGAGUCAAUAUAUAUAAAUUCUACCAACUACAGUUAUCAAUUAUAAAUAGUUACAAGAUUUCUCCUCAGACAGAAACAGUUUUUCCAACUUCUUCAACAUGAAUAAAACACUGUAGUUAUAAUGACACUUAGAAUAUAUUAUUGCACUAACUAGAGGUAGCAUGUGCUUUAUAUGAGCACGGAAAAGAGGAAAACUACCAGAAUAAGGCUCAAAGGUGGAUUACAUUCUUUGUUUUAAAUCUUAGGUUGACUCUGUAUUUUUUUUUUAUUAUGAAAAAAUUAACAAGCUUGUUUGACAAUAUCUUCCUCAAAAACAUGGAUGGACUGUUUGACACAAAGCUUUACUAAAAUAUAAAAAUCUGUUACAUUGCUAAAACUUGUCUAUCACUUGGAGAAAACCUGUAUGCCACAAUUUUUCAAACAUUAUAAAAGGGAGAACAAGGACAUUUACACAGAAGAAUACAGCUCAGUGUUCAAUGUCCAAUGUAUAAAUAACAACAACAACAACAACAACAAUAAUAAUAAUAAACUUUUGAAUUUAAUCAACUUUGAUGAAUUUCCGGCCUACUGAAUACUGCACAGUUUUGGCUUAAAUGAAUGCAAAACACCUUGACUGGAGAGUAACAGUUGAAUUUCUAAAAAAAUCACUUUUGACCUUAAAAAAAGAAGAACAACAAAAAGAGUGCAUGCAAAUGUUAGCACAUAACAGCAUAUAUUUGACACUCAACACUGAGUCUAGUUCUGUGUUUCCCCAUAGCUAUGUUGGUAUUCUGUGCCACCAAGCCAACAAAUCAUUGACAACUGACACAGGUCCAACUUUGACUAAAUUUGGGGAAAAAAUGUCAUCACAAUUAUUCAUAGAAAAUAACAAUUCUAAAACAACAGUAGCAAAAUAUAUACUCUUGCUUGGUUUGGCUCUUUUUUGCAGGAAUCUUAUGGUAGGUGAUAUCAGUUUGUGCAAGACAUUAAUGACCUAUUGAAGAAACAAUUACUUGCCUUAUCCACUGUGAGGAGAGCAGGCUAUCUCUCUUUUAACUCCUUGACUCCUGAUUCCUUCUCAACAAUUUCUUGUCUUGGCAGAGAUAAGGUCUUGGCCAUUUUUUCCUUAAUCACUCUUCGAUUGAUUCACUUCCUCACCUCACUUAGAAGUAACAGUCUCUCCCCUUCCAGCUUGUCUAAGGUCUCUCCAGUUGGAGUUUCAGGAAUGUGGUUGGCUUCUCCUCUCCUGGGUCCCUUUACUUUUUCUGCUGUCUGUGCGUCAUCUGGUGCUUUGGACUCGAGUGCAUUUGCAAGUACUUCAGAGCAGCCAAUACCUUUUAGUCGAGCUCGAUAAUUGCCUAUUUUUGUCUUAAGCUGCCGUUUCCAUCCAGAACAACCAUUUUACGAACCAGGCUCAGAAAGGCAUGGGUGCCUUUUAGCAAGUGCUUCGGCAACAUUAGCAAAGUCACCAUCAGUUGGUAGACUUUGAACUUCAAUAUCUCUUCUGCUACCUUGUGCAGAAUAUCAGACUUGGUUUUUGUACUUCAUGUAAACCUUGUCCUGUUUGAUCUGUACACUGCAUUUCCCUUUUUCAACUGUAGUUCAGUGUUGUAGGCAGAUGCUGGUAUUGGAAACUGCGUUGGCCAUAUCUGAGUCCUUGAAGAGAUGGAGCUGGAGAGUGUGGACAAGAGCUCUGUGUCUUCUAAAUCAACAACAGUAAGAUUUAAGUUUUGACUGGAAUCCUCGGUAAGUGGAAUGGUCUUGAUAGUCGCUAAAUCCUCAAGUCCUGCUAUGGAUGUUAAGUUCAUUAGCUCACAUCCGAAGUCUCUGUCUUGGUAAUGCAAUCGCAUAUUCCCACCGAAUCCAAACACUUCCUUAACUUUAUUUAUAAGUUCAUCCGUUGUGUCUGGGGUUCUAUCAGGCAGAAUUAGCUUCCUGGUGUCAUCUGGAUUUAGAGCUUGGCUGGUCUUCUCACUGACAUGUCAGCUCAUUGGAAAAAAUCUGUAAGAAACAAAAAUAUAACAGUAUUAGUUGUAAUUCAAAGAUGGUCAUAAUUUAUAAAUAAUUAAGCCUUGAAUUAUUUUUUUACAAUUCUCCCCUUCGAUAUACUCAUGGAAAGAUGAAGAAAGUUAUUUUUGAAAAUACUUGAUGAUCCUUCAACUGAAUUUCAAAACCUGACUUUCUUAACUCAUUUUUUGUUGAUUUAUGUUUUUUUUUUAUUUACAUGUAACAUCUCUGGACAAAAUAAAAUGAUGCCAACUAAGCAACUUUGUUGCUAUACUUACAAAUUCAGCAACUUUUCCAGGGUUUGGGGACCCUGACGUGAAAGCACAAACCAAUCUUCCUCUACUCAAUGAGCAGCAGGUGCUGCCGUGGAAUCCUCCCCCGUAAUAGGUACUUUGAAUGAAUAACACCCAUGUUUCACUUAUUUCAGGGUCAUGGCUCCACAUUAAACAGUUGUUGAAGUCUCUGUAACACUUUGUACAACCUUCAGGAUCAUUCCAGGCAUAGCCACAGGUGUACAGGCAUGCUUUAAUUAUGAGCUGCAGGAGGAAAGAAUCAGGAAAGCUCAAAUGCAAAACCUUGGCAAUGUGCAGGACCACCAAAAGCUCAGUUUCAUUCUGACAUUGAUGUAAGUCUCUGAGUUCAUAUCGGACAUAAUUUUUACUUGACUCAAAGUUGCUUUUUCAUUUAAUAACCCAAGUGUAAAAAUGCAUUAUAUCUUUGAACUAAGGUUCUGUUGCAUGUACAGGAGAGAAGAGAGUGUCAAUUCAGAGAGCAUGUUUGAGAAAUGAGCUUGUCCAUUUCACGUUCAGUAACUGAAAAGAGCUCUGUACCAUGCUUUAAGGGACAGUCAAGUGGGCUAAUGGCACUUCUUUACCUGCCACUACAAACAAUGUCAACCUCCAUAGCCUCCUCUAAAGAUCUAUUCUUGGAGCAGCUAUCAAUAAUAAAAGAUCCCCUCCUUCUGGGCAGUCUCCCCUAUAUUCCAACAACUUUUUACAUACAUCUCUGAUUCAGCUAGGACGUAAGAAUACAUUAUUAGCACUCUGUAACAGAAGAGAGAGGUGUCGGCAGCACAUGAAAAGUAAGAAUAAUCUCCACAUUCAAAAACGUACUUGAGAGUGACAUGACCAGAAACAGGUCGUGAUCUGACACUGAGCUGACAAUGAGGAACAAAUCUGUGCUUUAGAGAAGGAGGACAGACUGGUGUGUGAGUAACACGUUUUCCAGCUCAGGGAAAGAAAAUGACUAUGUUUUACACAAACGCUGAUACAAUACUGAGAGCAGCUUUAGUUUUCUCUUCUUCAUUCAAUGAGGUUAGUUUUUAGUAAAAAAAAAACCCUUUUCAUUUCUUGCCUCUUCUUCAAGCAUAGAAGAAAGUCCCUGACCAAAAGCUUGUUUGUACAACUCUGGGGCUCUUAUUUCUAGUCCUGACUCCCUAUCUGCUGAACAUUUAUUGUUUCAUGUUAAAAUUAUUAUUAUUUCUGAAAUAACAAACCAUGACCCUUGGCUCAUCAUUUUCUGCACAAAUAGGUUUAUUUUUCACUCAAGACAGAAAAAAAAUAGUUUAACUAUUUUGCUCACAGUAGCUAGCCUGUGUUGGUAAGCCGGUGUGAAUUCACAGAAUAGGCUUGUUUAUACAUCAUCUUCUUAAUAGUCUCCAAAUUAACUGUUCAAAAGCUGUUGGAUUUGUUGGCGCAAAUCCUUUAUGGAGGGAAAACUAAACUUUGUCAACAGGACACUAAAGUUGACAGAGAGAGGACUUAGAGCUGGACACCAUAACAAAGGAUGUCUUGAUUGUGACUUAAGGAUAAAUGGAUGCGAACAAACACAUGAGACACAUUAAAAAGUCACAUCAUGAAGGAGGCAAAUGGGUGAUUUGGCUUCUUGUUCAUCUUUGGUACUUGCCAUAAUAGUUGUGUUAUCUGGGUAUUUCUGUAAGUGACAGAACUCAGUGCUAUAUUAGAAGUCUGAUAUAUACAGUGUGAACAAGACUGGAACUAGGACUAUCCUUUGUGGAGCCCCUGUACUGUUCAUAAUGUCCCAGAAACUGUGGCCUUCCUGUCAGGUAAUCUGUAAUCCAGGGCACAGUGAAGCAUGUAGAGGACACAGUUGAGACAGUUCUGCAGCAAAGUCUUUAAGCAGCCUUGGACACACACCGUCUGGGCCAGCUGCCUUCCAGGACAAAGUCUUCCAAGCUCCAACCUGACAGGAGAUUACCCAAAAGACUAUUAGCCAAAUACUACAAGACAAUGGAUGCCAAUUUGACCAGUACGUGUUUGAAAAGCUAGCCAGUGUACUCUGUGAGACAAACCCUGGAAAAAAACAAAAACAAUUAGAGAUAAAGAUCCACUUUCCAGUGCUUUGAGGCGGUGAAAAGCUUACCAUAAGAGCCACUUUAAUGUAGCGAAACCAGUGGAAUAUACAGUAUACUUGAUUGAAAGAAUCAUAAGUCAUUUCAAUAUGUUUCUAUUUUAAAACCCUUGCUGCAUAUUCUUGACUGCCACACAAUCUAGGGUCAGACUGUUAAUCGGAAUACUGUAGAUAGUCCGCCUCAGAGAGCUUGAGUGCACUUAUACAAAACUAUCUUUGAUGGCGUCUUCUUCAAUGAAAAUGGACUGUUGUCUAAGCAGGAAAGCAUUUCAUUCAUAUUAUACAUUGAUGAGUUAAAAAAUAUGUUAUCCGCCUGGUACAUCAAGGAGGAGCAUAAAAUUUGUGGUUUAUAGUGGAUUCUGGGUAACUUGCCACCAGGCUGUAAUUCUGCUUUAUCCUCCAUCUAUUUGGCUGCUUUAAUCAAAGGUCAUGAUCUAAAGUGUUAUGGGUAUGAGAAAGUGUUAAAACCUGUAGUUAAGGAUCUUGGAACAGAGUGGGGUAUUUCUGUCAAAGUUGGGCAGAACAGUAAAAGGUACAGUUCAGUGUCUGGUCGCUGCUGACAACCUUGGUGCGCACAGUAAUGCUGAAUUUGCUGAAAAUUUCUCAGGGGCAUACCUAUUUAGAUUUUACACUGCAAAAAGAUCAGAGUUUCAGACUCAAGAAGUCACACACAAAAAAAUACUGGGUUGUUUUUUCAACCCAACCACUAGGUUGAGCCUGUUCGUCAAUUUAUUUGGGUUAUUUUCAUGAAGUUGGACAUUCUGAGUACCCAAUACACAAGGUUAUUUAUGUUGGGAACAAAGUUGAUAGCUGUUGGGUUGUAAUUUCUAUACAGUUUUGUUGGUUUAUUGUGGACUACCCAACACAUUGGGUAGACGUUAGGGCAUUUGAAACCAAGCACCAACCACUCACCAGAUUGAUGCCACAAUUGCUGAAGCGAGGAGACCUACAAAGCAAGGUUUGUUACAUUCCCACGAUUGCUUUACCAUAUAGAUGACUUGAUAUUAUGAUAGAAACCCUCAUUUUGUUGUUAAGAUGCAAGUUUGUAAAGCACUGUUGUGUACCAGCUUCUGCCUUCAGGAAUCAGUUGGUAGGUGAGCAAGCUAAUGGUUAGCCAACAUUAGUAGCAUAAAGUACAUUGCCUCAAGCGUAGCAAGCUAACACCUUAGCUGAUGUGCAGUGUGGUGGUGUGCCUGACGGGUCUCAUGAGUCAAAUGGACACUGUCUGCACGGACACGAGCUGGCUCGAGUGAGUCAUGAGUUAGGUUUGCUUUAGAUUUCGAUGAUUGAAUGUAUGAUGUAUGCGAUGUAUGUAUAUUAUUUUUGUGUCUUCUGUGAUUUUUGAAUUGUAAUAAAUAACUGUUACAUUCUUGCACAAUGAUGAUAAUGUGAUGGUUUACUUUAAUUUAUUAUGUAGUAAUUAAAAUUAAAAUAAUAAUAUUUAAUGAUUAAUGUUAUUUAAUGUUAUGUAAAAUAUUAACAACCCAACAUGCUGGGUUUAAAGAACCCAGCAGAGUAGUUAUUGUGAACCCUUAGUUGGGUUAUAUAAACAACCAAAUUGUUGGGUUAAAGGAACCAACCCAAUUACUCAGGUAAAAUUAACCCAGUAUGUGUUCUGUCCAAUAUUUAACCAGUGCUUGGUUGGGAAACUACCCAUAUUGGGUUGUUUUUAACCCUCAUUUUUGAAUCCUUGAGGAAAACUAAUUGCCCGGUAAUUGGGGUGUGAAAUCAAAGUGUAUUUUUUCAGAGAACCUCUCAUAUCUUGAUGUCACCACCGGGUUUCCACCUGACAUUGUACAUGGUCUUUUUGAAGGAAUUGUUUCUUUUUAGCUCAGUUUGUUAAUCACAAACAAUAUUUCACAUUCUUUACAUUGAAUGAAGUAAAUCAUCUUUCAACUGUAAGUGGGCUGACAAAACAAAUCGACCUCAUCCUGUCGCUCUCAGUUUUAUAUCUAAAAAUCCUUGGGGAAAAUGCACUUGAAAAAUUGAGUCUAAGCAGAUUUUUGCCUUUGUUCAUUGGGCAGAGAGUUCCCUGUGAGGAGUCUGCUUGGCAGAUCUUAGACCUGAAGGAUAUUGUUGAUCUCAUUGUCAGUCCUGUUCAUACUUAGGACUCCAUCGAAUAUCUUGUUUUUUUUUUAAUAUCUCUGAGCACUCAGUUUCAAGAGGGUUUCCCAGAAUGUGAACUUCAACCAAAGCACCAUUUCUUGGAACAUUAUCUAUACUUGAUCCAUAAGUUUCGGGCACUAGUUGCCAUAUGGACUACGUAUGUGUUUUGAUGCAAAGAAUAGCUUUUUUAAAAGAGUUGCAUGGGAUAUCAGAUGCGUCCUCUGAUACCUCUUUACCUGUUUCCACUGUUCACACUGAUGUUCCUAAUGAGGACAUUUCAAAUGUACUAAGACAGAAGUCUCCAGACAUGGACAAUUGUCAUUACAAGGCCCACGCAGGGGACGCACAUUUCUGCACAGCUGCAGUGGUACUAAUCAAAAAGCAUCCAUGUUUGAUACCUGGCUAAUUCAAUGGCUGCUACAUUGGAAACAGCAUCAGAAGUACAGAAACUACAGGACUCAGAUCAAAUUACUGGGGUGUCCAGAGCUGUGUGUUAACUCCUUGAAAUCUAAAGCUACUACAGAUACUUUCCCUGCUAAAAAAGUGAAGAAGCCAAAACUGUCUGAAGCUAAGUUUUAUCUAACCUCUCUGACGGGUAAGACUCUGGUAGCCUGGAAAAAGUGAGACUACAAUUUGUGACAGAGAGCAGGAUGAGGGACGACAAAAGGGUCGAACACGGUAGUAAACCAAGAACCAAGCAUUCAGGACGUCAAGGACAGAUGGCCUGCACUCUUUAUACAGAAGGAGGUAAGAAUGGAACUAAAAUGAUCAAAGUCUGCAUGCUUCAGGAUUUACUUCAGUGAGCCUUCGUGAAUUGGUCACAACCUAUGGUUGAGUUCUAGAGGCUGUUCCAUGGUUGUUCCUCUUGAGGAGAAGUUUAUGGCCUAGUUAGAUAUGCACUCAAGUCAGCUGAUCAAAGUUAUCCGUGCCAGAGGAGGAGCAACACUCAUCAUGUGAACUGUGAACAUCAUGGAUGCAUUGGACCAGGCAGAUCUGUACCAUAAAACAAAACACUCCGAUAUGACUCGCCGUUUUGGUUACUAACGUGUGUUUUAAGGACAUUCAUUAUUUUUAUCAUCAUUAUUUUGAGUUGAUGGUCACAUUUUUAAAGAUUGAGGCAUCAAAUUUGGCGGGAAGUCUUAUUUUUCAUCAUAUUAAAAGAAAAAAAACGUGCUGCCCAUGGACC